GUUAAUUGUGUCUUUUCUCUAAAUAGAGCACAACAAACGUGGGUGUUUUCAUAACUCUUCAAUAUUCCUACCAUUGCCACAAGUGGGAACGUAAUGUCGUGCGUGUUUUCUACAGGUAGCCUUGCGUCCCUAGAAACAACGUCGACGUGCACAAGCAAGGUCACGCAUCAUAAAUGCCGUUUAUUCUAAAAGAAAGAGUGCUUUACCGAAACACAGUAUGCAUCGGAGGCAGAAAAUUUAUUCAAGCUCUGAAGUCCCAAACAACUGAAAAUGCUCCAAAACACCAUCACGUGACCCAGUAGCAGACACUACAUCUGCCAAUGAGCAAUGGACAGAACUGAGAAUACCAUAUCAUGAACCGUAGUGAACACUGCUGGCAACAUCCUGUUUUAGGAUCGAUUUCUCUACAUACAAGCCCCACCAGUGCAGUUGGCACACAACAGCAUCCCUCCUGAUCAAGUGAAAAGGAAUCCUAUGACACCGCUUGAUCUUUGUCUGACAUGGAAAUCUGCAAAUCAAAUAAGGUGGAAGAAUAACAUCUGGUUAAAAAAUUUAUGUGGAAAAAUAUCUGCUUUAAAGUGAUGUCAUGAACUGGACGCUGCACUCUUGAUUCCAACACUAAUAUUGUCAAGUUCAUAUUCAGCAAGUUGAAGAUAACUGACACCAUCUUUAAGUAUAAGUUUCACAAAUAUGGUAUUCAGAAGUUUUUUGUUUUCACUACUGAUGUAUAUAUAGUAUAAAAAAAUGGAUUUCUGUAAUAGAAUAAAGUAUUGGAAUACA